GGAGAUGGGGCAGGAAUGUAGGGUGGGGUUGGAUUGGUUCCUGGAUCAAUUGGUGUUGGAGGGCUAUUUCCUCCAUAAGUUGGUGGAGAGCCUCCAUAAGUUGGUGGGGAGUUAUAGUAACCACCACCUGAGGGUGGGUUUGAUGGUGCAUCUGGAGUUAAAGGUGUUGGAGUAGAAGGUUCCUGUGGUGGUGAUCCAUAGUAUCCACCACCUCCGGAGGGAGGGUUUGAUGGUGCAUCUGGAGUUAAGGGCGUUGGAGUAGAAGGUUCUUGUGGUGGUGAUCCAUAGUAACCACCACCACCUGAGGGAGGGCUUGAUGGUGCAUCUGGAGAUAAAGGUGUUUCUGGAGUAGUGGGUGUUGUUGGAGAAGGUUCAUCAGGUGGUGAUCCAUAGUAGCCACCACCUCCUGAGGGAGGGCUUGAUGGUGCAUCUGGAGAUAAGGGUGUUUCUGGAGUAGUGGGUGUUGUUGGAGAUGAUCCUUCAGGUGGUGAUCCACAAUUGCCACCUGAGGGUGGCGAUGGCGUUGGAUUAUAACUUCCACUACCACUACCUGAGGGUGGUGAUGGGGUUGGAUUGUAGCUUCCACCACCACCUGAGGGUGGUGAUGGGGUUGGAUUGUAGCUUCCACCACCACCUGAGGGAGGGCUUGAUGGUGUGUCUGGAGUUGAGGGUGUUGAUGGAGAAGGUUCAUCAGGUGGUGAUCCAUAGUAGCCACCACCUCCUGAGGGAGGGUUUGAUGGUGUUGUUGGAGAUGAUCCCUCUGGUGGUGAUCCACAAUUGCCACCUGAGGGUGGUGAUGGGGUUGGAUUAUAACUUCCACUUCCGCUUCCACUACCAGAGGGUGGUGAAGGGCUUGGGCUGCAGCUUCCACCACCUGAGGGUGAUGAGGGGCUUGGAUUGUAGCUUCCACCACCUGAAGGUGGUGAUGGGGUUGGGUUGUAGCUUCCACCACC
rnacentral:lncRNA from 1 species